AGUGAACGCUGGCGGCAGGCCUAACACAUGCAAGUCGAACGGCAGCACAGUAAGAGCUUGCUCAUACGGGUGGCGCGUGGCGGACGGGUGAGGAAUAAAUCGGAAUCUAAUUUUUCGAGGGGGAUAACGUAGGGAAACGUACGCUAAUAUAGCAUACGAUAUACGGGUGUAAGCAGGGGAACUUCAGACCUUGCGCGAUUGAAUGAGCUGAUGUGGGAUUAGCCAGUUGAAGGGGUAAAGGGCAACAAAGGAGAUGAUCCUUAGCGGGCCUGAGAGGAUGACCAGCCACACUGGAACUGAGACACGGCCCAGACUCCUACGGGAGGAAGCAGUGGGGAAUAUUGGACAAUGGGCGCAAGCCUGAUCCAGCCAUACCGCGUGGGUGAAGAAGGCCUUCGGGUUGUAAAGCCCUUUUGUUGGGAAAGAAGAGCAGCAGGUUAAUACCCCGCUGUACUGACGGUACCCAAAGAAUAAGCACCGGCUAACUUCGUG
rnacentral:rRNA from 1 species